CUUGCUCUCUGGGUGACGAGCGGCGGACGGGUGAGUAAUGUCUGGGAAACUGCCUGAUGGAGGGGGAUAACUACUGGAAACGGUAUCUAAUACCGCAUAAUGUCUACGGACCAAAGUGGGGGACCUUCGGGCCUCAUGCCAUCAUAUGUGCCCAGAUGGGAUUAUCUAGUAGGUGGGGUAAUGGCUCACCUACGCGACGAUCCCUAUCUGGUCUGAGAGGAUGACCACCCACACUGGAACUGAGACACGGCCCACACUCCUACGGGAGGCGGCAGUGGGGAAUAUUGUUCACUGGGCACGAACCUGAUGCCGCCACGCCGCGUGUGUGAAUAU
rnacentral:rRNA from 1 species